GGGUUGUGAGGUUAAGCGACUAAGCGUACACGGUGGAUGCCCUGGCAGUCAGAGGCGAUGAAGGGCGUGCUAAUCUGCGAUAAGCGCCGGUAAGGUGAUAUGAACCGUUAUAACCGGCGAUACCCGAAUGGGGAAACCCAGUGUGAUUCGUCACACUAUCAUUAACUGAAUCCAUAGGUUAAUGAGGCGAACCGGGGGAACUGAAACAUCUAAGUACCCCGAGGAAAAGAAAUCAACCGAGAUUCCCCCAGUAGCGGCGAGCGAACGGGGAGGAGCCCAGAGCCUGAAUCAGCAUGUGUGUUAGUGGAAGCGUCUGGAAAGGCGCGCGAUACAGGGUGACAGCCCCGUACACAAAAGCGCAUGUGCUGUGAGCUCGAUGAGUAGGGCGGGACACGUGGUAUCCUGUCUGAAUAUGGGGGGACCAUCCUCCAAGGCUAAAUACUCCUGACUGACCGAUAGUGAACCAGUACCGUGAGGGAAAGGCGAAAAGAACCCCGGCGAGGGGAGUGAAAAAGAACCUGAAACCGUGUACGUACAAGCAGUGGGAGCCCCACCACUAAGCCAGUGGUGAACUCCACAUACGCAUCCUUUGCUGAGGAUACGGUUAACGGAGCGAAAGCGACGUUCAACCGCAAAACAAGCAGAGGGGGCUUAGUGGUGGGGUGACUGCGUACCUUUUGUAUAAUGGGUCAGCGACUUAUAUUCUGUAGCAAGGUUAACCGUAUAGGGGAGCCGAAGGGAAACCGAGUCUUAAUUGGGCGUUAAGUUGCAGGGUAUAGACCCGAAACCCGGUGAUCUAGCCAUGGGCAGGUUGAAGGUUGGGUAACACUAACUGGAGGACCGAACCGACUAAUGUUGAAAAAUUAGCGGAUGACCUGUGGCUGGGGGUGAAAGGCCAAUCAAACCGGGAGAUAGCUGGUUCUCCCCGAAAGCUAUUUAGGUAGCGCCUCGUGAAUUCAUCUCCGGGGGUAGAGCACUGUUUCGGCUAGGGGGCCAUCCCGGCUUACCAACCCGAUGCAAACUGCGAAUACCGGAGAAUGUUAUCACGGGAGACACACGGCGGGUGCUAACGUCCGUCGUGAAGAGGGAAACAACCCAGACCGCCAGCUAAGGUCCCAAAGUCAUGGUUAAGUGGGAAACGAUGUGGGAAGGCCCAGACAGCCAGGAUGUUGGCUUAGAAGCAGCCAUCAUUUAAAGAAAGCGUAAUAGCUCACUGGUCGAGUCGGCCUGCGCGGAAGAUGUAACGGGGCUAAACCAU
rnacentral:rRNA from 1 species